UUUAUCCACCGGACCUAUAACCCAAG
rnacentral:misc_RNA from 1 species